AUUGAACGCUGGCGGCAGGCUUAACACAUGCAAGUCGAGCGGCAGCAUGCUUAGUAGCAAUACUAAGUGAUGGCGAGCGGCGGACGGGUGAGGAACACGUAGGAACCUGCCCAAGAGAGGGGGAUAACUAAGGGAAACUUUAGCUAAUACCGCAUAAUCUCUGAGGAGAAAAGCUGCCCGUAAGGGUAGCGCUUUUGGAGGGGCCUGCGUCCGAUUAGCUAGUUGGUGAGGUAAAAGCUCACCAAGGCGAUGAUCGGUAACUGGUCUGAGAGGACGACCAGUCACACUGGGAGUGAGACACGGCCCAGACUCCUACGGGAGGCAGCAGUGGGGAAUCUUGGACAAUGGGGGCAACCCUGAUCCAGCGAUGCCGCGUGGGUGAAGAAGGCCUUCGGGUUGUAAAGCCCUUUAGGCUGGGAAGAAGUGUGCGGGAUGAAUAAUCCUGUACAUUGACGGUACCAGCAGAAUAAGCACCGGCAGACUCUGUGCCAGCCGCCGCUGUAA
rnacentral:rRNA from 1 species